rnacentral:piRNA from 1 species
UACUUGGAGAUCCAUCCCAUAAUCAGC